GAUGAAGAACGUAGCGAAAUGCGAUACUUGGUGUGAAUUGCAGAAUCCCGUGAACCAUCGAGUCUUUGAACGCAAGUUGCGCCCGAAGCCAUCAGGUUGAGGGCACGUCUGCCUGGGCGUCACAUAUCGUUGCCCAAUGCCUAUUGCAGUGCAAUAGGAAUUUCUAGGGCGAAUGAUGGCUUCCCGUGAGCGUUGUUGCCUCGCGGUUGGUUGAAAUUCGAGUCCUUGGUAGGGUGUGCCAUGGUAGAUGGUGGUCGAGUUAGAACGAUACCGAUCAUGUGCAUGCUCCCCAAAAUAUGGCCUCUAUGACCCACACGCGUCUUUUGACGCUCAUGACGAGACCUCAGGUCAGGCGGGGCUACCCGCUGAAUUUAAGCAUAUCAAUAAGCGGAGGA
rnacentral:misc_RNA from 1 species